AUUGAACGCUGGCGGUAUGCUUAAGACAUGCAAGUCGAACGGUAACAGGUUAAGCUGACGAGUGGCGGACGAGUGAGUAACGCGUGGGAAUCUACCUUGUAGUGGGGGAUAAGCCAGGGAAACUUGGACUAAUACCGCAUACGCCCUAAGGGGGAAAGGCGCAAGUCGCUAUAAGAUGAGCCCGCGUCUGAUUAGGUAGUUGGUGGGUAAAGGCCUACCAAGCCGACGAUCAGUAGCUGGUCUGAGAGGAUGAUCAGCCACGUCGGGACUGAGACACGGCCCGGACUCCUACGGGAGGCAGCAGUCGGGAAUAUUGGACAAUGGGGGAAACCCUGAUCCAGCAAUACCGCGUGUGUGAAGAAGGCCUGCGGGUUGUAAAGCACUUUCAGUUGGGAAGAUAAUGACGUUACCAACAGAAGAAGCACCGGCUAACUCCGUG
rnacentral:rRNA from 1 species